rnacentral:lncRNA from 1 species
GCAGAGGACUUCUUCUUCUUCUUCUUCUUCUUCUUCUUCUUCUUCUUCUUCUUCUUCUUCUUCUUCUUCUUCUGUUGCGAGAUUUUGUAGUCUCUUGAUUGCGAUCAUCUUGCAAGUCACAUCAUGCAAAAUUGUUCUUGGUGCAAGUGGUGCGUGCUCUUCUCAUCUUCGUCCGUUUAGACAGCUAGAUGAUUUCAAAACUUUAAUUUAAAUCCCUUAGAUUUGGGUCUCUCACUUAUUGGCUUGUUCAAAUUAAUCCUUGUCGCGUGAGAUUAGCAGAUCCACCUGUGCAAUUUAUAUUUUAGUUUGAUCGGUGGUGGUGUUGAUCACUUCUGACAUCAAAAUUAAUAAGUAAUUCGGCUCAUAGUAAAUAAAGAUAUCAUGUGAUUCUAUUCAUAUAUUUAUUAUUACAAGGAUAUGUUUUACGUAUUGACAUCUACAUUUUAUCCAUAUUCGACAUAUCAGUCGGCAAAUCAAUGCGAAUGGACUUUUUUAAUGAAACGUUUACCAUAUUUGAUGUUGUUUUACCAAUGCAAAGGCCAAUUUUUACCCUAUUUUAGAUGUGUUUACCACCAUGGAGAAUGGUGUCUUGGUUACUACAGGUGUGCAUGACAAACUAUAAGGAGCGAUGUAUUGUUUAUUUUGUUUCCCCCUCGUAGGUUUAGUAAACGAUCUCGAUCUUGCUUCAGGAGGAAAUAUUAGAUAGUAUGGAUGGAGACAUGCACCAAAAAAAGUAGUGAAAAGUGGAAAUGUUUUUACAAGAGACAGUCAUAAAAUCGGGACUUAAAUAUGAGUUGAAAGAUCAAAUCUAUCAAAAUAAUCUGCACGAAUCAAAAUUGCAUAGGAGCCUUACCACUUUAGCAAUAGACCAUGAAAUUUCUUUGUAAUUUUUCCUAAUUUUUACUGUCUAAAUUAACAAGUUUGGACAUUAUUUUGGGUGCCCGGUAUUGCUAGCACUACCAAAUUUUCUUGACUGAAGACAUUUUGAGGUUGAGCUGUAGCUGGCACCACUUUGACUAAGAAUGCAUAGAUAUAUUGCUAUUUGGGUCUCACGAUCAUUGGCUUUCAAUCAGUGGCCAUCAACAUGAUCGAUUGUUAAAUAUGUAGCAGGGUUGUUGACUUCUUUUCAAAUUUUCAAUUUUUUUUACUUUUCUGAGUUUGAAGGUGGAGCUGGUGGAGGCGACCCACAUAAGAGCCCAGGAUGUUAAUGAUGUACGUUUAUUAACAAAAUCGGGCUACUAAAAUGGUUAUCGUCGUCAUCAGAAAUCUUUUCUUCGAACCGGAAGUUGUUGUGCCACCGCAAUUGUUUCUCCACUGUUUUAGAACCGAAUAAACGCCAUGCCAGGGCUGCCACAUCGUCCCUAUCUGUUAUACUUGUAUCUCUGAUAGUAUCAAUUUGUGUUAGCAUCAAUUUAUAGUAACUUCUAUAUGACAAGUCAAGUAAUUUACUGGUUAAGUUUAUCAUUUCAUUUUGGGUUGAUUCGGAUUUUGUCUCUAUAUAUUU